GCCGGCCUAGCUCAAUUGGUAGAGCAACUGACUUGUAAUCAGUAGGUUGGGGGUCCAAGUCCUCUGGCCGGCACCA
rnacentral:tRNA from 1 species